GUGGGGAAUCUUGCGCAAUGGGCGAAAGCCUGACGCAGCGACGCCGCGUGGGGGAGGAAGCCCUUCGGGGUGUAAACCCCUGUCAGAGGGGAAGAAUGGGCACCCGAGGAAAUGCGGGUGUUUUGACGGUACCCUCAGAGGAAGCACCGGCUAACUCUGUGCCAGCAGCCGCGGUAAUACAGAGGGUGCGAGCGUUGUUCGGAAUUACUGGGCGUAAAGCGCGCGCAGGCGGUUCGAUAAGUCUGAUGUGAAAUCCCCGGGCUCAACCUGGGAACUGCGUUGGAAACUGUCGGGCUAGAGUGUAGAAGAGGGGGGUAGAAUUCCACGUGUAGCAGUGAAAUGCGUAGAGAUGUGGAGGAAUACCGAUGGCGAAGGCAGCCCCCUGGGCUAACACUGACGCUCAUGCACGAAAGCGUGGGGAGCAAACAGGAUUAGAAACCCGUGUAGUCC
rnacentral:rRNA from 1 species